GGCUAUAGCUCAGUUUUAGAACAUUUGUCUUGCAUCCAUGAAGUCCUAGGUUCAAUUCCUAGUACUGCCA
rnacentral:tRNA from 1 species